rnacentral:rRNA from 1 species
UACAGAGGGGGCAAGCGUUGUUCGGAAUUACUGGGCGUAAAGGGCGCGUAGGCGGCCUUCUAAGUCGAACGUGAAAUCCCCGGGCUCAACCCGGGAACUGCGUCCGAUACUGGAAGGCUUGAAUCCGGGAGAGGGAUGCGGAAUUCCAGGUGUAGCGGUGAAAUGCGUAGAGAUCAUGAGGAAGACCAGUGGCGAAGGCGGGUCUCUGGACAGUUCCUGACACUGAGGCACGAAGGCCAGGGGAGCAAACGGG